CCUAAAACCACCCCAAUGAAGACGGAGCAUGUUAAGUGGGCAUGGAGUGCUGCCUUGCUGCUCCCCUGGGCGGGGGGAGGGUUAGGAAUCCUGAAGAGGGGACUCGAUGCUGCAAAAUUUUGUUGCAGAUCUAACUUGCUUUUUCUGUUUCCAGUGUUCAUAAGAACAUAAGAAGAGCCUGCUGGAUCAGGCCAAAGGCCCAUUAAUCCACCACCCUGUUCUCACAGUGGCCAACCAGUUGCCCAUGGGAAAUCCACAAGCUCCCCUCGCACAGUUUCCAGCAACUGGUAUUUUGAACAUACUGCCUCUGACUAUGAAGGUACAACAUGGUGAACGCUGUCCAUCUCUCUGUAAAAACCAACAUCAACAUGGAAAUUCAACAUCGUCUGAGCUCUGCGAGUGCUGCAUUCUCCCAAAUGAAGCGUAGAGUGUUCGAGGAUCGGGAUAUUCGCAGGGAGACCAAAAUGCUUAUCUACAAAGUCUUUGAAACAUGGACCAUCUAUUAGCGCCACUCCUAACUUCUUGAAAGAUUCCACCAAUGCUGCCUCCGGAAAAUUCUGCAAAAUGGGAAGAUAGAUGAACUAAUGUUACCAUAUUGGUAGAAGCAAACACCACCAGUGUUGAAACAAUGAUCUUUCAACAUCAACUUUGCUGGACCGGCCAUGUUGCUCAUACGCCUGAUCACCAUCUUCCAUAACAGCUACUCUACUCCCAACUUAAGGAUGGAAAAUGGAAUAUUGGUGAACAGCAAAAGAGGUUUAAAUAUGUUCUUAAAAAUAAUCUAAAAAAAUGUAACAUGAGCAUCAAGAAUGUGAUCCAUUCAGAGUGGGAUCAGGCAUAAAACAGAAAUACAUCAUUUGCCAUUUUCAUGGUCAUGAUUCUAUACCUUGUUGAGGGGAAACUUCCCACUGGUGUGGAAAUCACAUAUCGAACAGAUGGAAAGCUUUUUAAUCUCAGUAGGCUGAAAGCAAAAAGUAAGGGCUCUUCAGUAACUGAAAACUCUGCUGAAGCUAGCUCCCAGCCAUGUCCAACACCCCUGUGGAAGACUGUAUCAUUAGAAAACAUUCACAUGCAGAACUCUGCAGAUCUGACAAGAAAGCAUCCAGGGCAUAUCAUCCUUAGAAGCAUCCUAGGCAUUCAAACCCAUGAAACAGACAAUAUUUUACCAAGAAAAUGGAAGACAGCAAUGAAAUGCAUUGUCAGAGCAGCAGUGUAUGCCAUUUUGAAGCAUUGUUUAAUGCAAAAUAUGUAUAAUUCUUGUGAGGGAUGCCUAAUUCAGGCCCCAUCUCAGAAAAGACAUAACUGUCUGAACUGGUCAAAUCCUGUCCUUUCUAGAAUGUUGAGAAUUAUAUGUGGAAAGAUCUGUUUUAAAAGUGUGCUCCAUGUGGUUAUCUUAGCAGCAUACAGUCUGAAUUGUCUUGUUCUAACACAAGCAACUGUUGAUGCAGU